GAGAGCAGUCGAAUGUGUUGAAUGCUGUCAGGCUGAGUAAAUGGAGCAUAGGGAAGUGUUUUAAGAUUUAACAAUAGGAGAAGCUGAUGACUUUGACCAGAACAGCUUCCGGGAAGAAGUGGAAAUGGAAGCAGACUGAGCAAGGAGAUGCAGCAGAGAGAGUCAAAGUACAAAGACGAAGAAAGUACAGCAAGCCAAGAUUUGCUCAAAAAGAUGUUGGUGAUCUCAGAGCUGGUAUGUGGCAGCAUCUAUAAAUGGCUGACAGAGAGCUGCUCUUCGGUGGUCUAGAAACUGUCAACGGCCCUGAGUUCCUGUGUCUUCCUCGCCCUCCUCUCUCUCAGCAAGACAUCAAACAUCCUGGGCUGUUUUGUUACCAGGACCAUGUCUCUCUGCAUGUCUCAGUUAAAGAAAACACGGGCUGCUUGCCUCGCCCUGCUCUCACGAAGAGGACAGUUACUGAGUAUGUGCUUGCUCUGCUGAAAUGGGCUUCCCCGACAGGCAGACCUGGCUUAGGAGCACGGCACCCCCCGGAGCUGCCAACACGCUGCCAUGCCCUCAGAGCUGCAGCGGCUUAUUCUGUCACUCCACAAUUUCCAAGGCACAAAUGCAUUUCGCUAUUCUUCUUCCCUGCAAAGGGAAGGUGCAGAGAUUAGGUAAUGCUCUAGCUAUCAUGGUACCAACUGAAUCAUGCAUGGUGAACACACAUGUGGAGAACAAGUGAUUUAUUAGU